rnacentral:lncRNA from 1 species
UGUCACGCCCCGGGACCGGCGGAGGCCCUCCCGGUAGCGUGCCCAGACCCGCCAUAUGUCUACACAUAUAAGGCGUUUACAAUAAAAGCGGAAGUAAAGCAAGAGAUAGAACAAAUAAAAGAAAUGAAAUAACUAGCAACUAAUGAUAUCAGAGCGAGUAAAGUUCUAUCAUCUACACCAAAGUAUAGAAAUAAAGCUAGACAAUAAAAGAAACAAUAAGUAGUACAACAUCUGCCUCAAGUACAAAAAUGGUGGUCUCUAUACAUAUACGGGUACAACUCUCAACCUCUCACAA